rnacentral:rRNA from 1 species
UACGAAGGGGGCUAGCGUUGCUCGGAAUCACUGGGCGUAAAGCGCACGUACGCGGAUUGCUAAGUCAGGGGUGAAAUCCUGGAGCUCAACUCCAGAACUGCCUUUGAUACUGGCAAUCUCGAGUCCGGGAGAGGUGAGUGGAACUGCGAGUGUAGAGGUGAAAUUCGUAGAUAUCAGGAGGAACACCAAUGGCGAAGGCAGCUCGCUGGAACGGUACUGACGCUGAGGCGCGAAAGCGUGGGGAGCGAACAGG